GGGGGUCAUCCCGACUUACCAACCCGAUGCAAACUGCGAAUACCGGAGAAUGUUAUCACGGGAGACACACGGCGGGUGCUAACGUCCGUCGUGAAGAGGGAAACAACCCAGACCGCCAGCUAAGGUCCCAAAGUCAUGGUUAAGUGGGAAACGAUGUGGGAAGGCCCAGACAGCCAGGAUGUUGGCUUAGAAGCAGCCAUCAUUUAAAGAAAGCGUAAUAGCUCACUGGUCGAGUCGGCCUGCGCGGAAGAUGUAACGGGGCUAAACCAUGCACCGAAGCUGCGGCAGCGACGCUGAUGCGUUGUUGGGUAGGGGAGCGUUCUGUAAGCCUGUGAAGGUGUGCUGUGAGGCAUGCUGGAGGUAUCAGAAGUGCGAAUGCUGACAUAAGUAACGAUAAAGCGGGUGAAAAGCCCGCUCGCCGGAAGACCAAGGGUUCCUGUCCAACGUUAAUCGGGGCAGGGUGAGUCGACCCCUAAGGCGAGGCCGAAAGGCGUAGUCGAUGGGAAACAGGUUAAUAUUCCUGUACUUGGUGUUACUGCGAAGGGGGGACGGAGAAGGCUAUGUUGGCCGGGCGACGGUUGUCCCGGUUUAAGCGUGUAGGCUGGUUUUCCAGGCAAAUCCGGAAAAUCAAGGCUGAGGCGUGAUGACGAGGCACUACGG
rnacentral:rRNA from 1 species